AUAAAGUAUUAAAUUGUAUAAUUAUUCAUAAACGUGAUGCCACGUGUUGACGCCAAGUGUUUAACAAGUUACGUAAAAUGAAUAAUUGGAUUUAGUAGGUGCCAAUGUCAAUGCUGUUUUACGAAUUAAUUUAAACUUGACACUACCCGAAGCAAAAACAUUUUAGUUGUAUGAUAACAACUUAAAUAAAGUGGGAAUACCGAAGAUGACAAUAUAAUAGACAAAGGGUAGAGACCUGUGUUGAGGCGGUGGUGUCGGUGUUCUUGAUAGUGGGAAGCUUGCUACUUCUCGGGUCACCGAGAGAGAUCGGAUCGAUCCAAAAGUCUGGUCUGGCGACAGAUUUGCUCCGACGCUCUGAACCAUCCCGCUGCUGAAACAUUAUUAACAUUGUUUUAUUAUUUUUAGUAUUACUCUUAUAAACUCACAUCUUGGCCCAAAAAUCGAUAGUCUGAGAGCCUGACGUUUAUAUGUCUCUUAUAUUACUGGUAUUGUAUUUCAUUUUUCUUUAAUAACCCUCGAGACCACCGUGAGAUGCAAGAAGUUUGUUUAAUUCUUCAACACACCUUUUCAUUGCAUUUUUUUUUUUUAAUAUUUACUGAGAAAAAGUUUAAUAACAUGGAAUUAUUUUAAAAGUCUCUUGUGUACUCAAAGGUGUAUUGUAUCAUUAACUUUAUUAAAAAAAAAAAUAUAAAUACUGCAAUUUGUAGACAUUUGACACGUUUUACUUGUUUGUACACAGUAGAUAUUUGCUGGUGAUAAAAUUAUU